GCGGGCAGGAGCCUGCUUCGUUGAGCAAAUCGGUGUAGACAAAAAAAGAAAAUCCGGGCCCCGCUGAGGUCAGGAGCAAAACCGAGUUGCUGGCUCGGCGAAUCAGGCAGGAGGGACUGCUCACACACAUCUAGCGCCAGGAUCGUGGCUUUUUCCUGCUUCAACGGGUGAGAGGUUUACAUCAGUUUGCUAUCAAAAUGUGCCUAGGACUAUUUUUCAUGCAUUAGAGGGAAAUGCAGAAUCAAAUGUGAAUACAAGUUGAGAUGUACAACAUUGCCUACACGUCAGAUUUUGACUGCCUGAAAGAAGGAUCUCAGAAUCUCAGAUGAAAUAUGCAAGUGAUGAGGGACUGCAACUGAAAGUACAGACAGCUGUUAAGAUUUGUGCACAGUUGUUAUCCUUGGCUCUUAAACAGAAGCAUACAGGAAUGCCACCACGGGGGAACUGGUGCACUGUAAGGCAGUAGCACAGCUAGAGGUAUGCUGCCAAUGGUUUCCAUUCUGUUUGUGUCUCUGCUAAUAGCAACUAUUAUAUAGGAAUAUACAGUGGUAAAUCACUCCUGAAGAUUAACAAAAAUAGUUGAGCGAACACUUGCACAGCACACAUCAUUCAGGUCUGUUUAUGCUUGUGGAUACACAUUAUGAUGACCAACAAGGCAAAUGGAUUUCAAAGUCCAACUGUGCUGCUCUGCAGUACUCAGCUUUAGACUUCAUUGGGUCCAAAAGAGAGAGUGGUUACUGGAAAUGAUUCAUGUACGCAGAAGAAAAUAGAACAUAUUUAGGUAAUGAUCUAGGAAGGCUCAGAACUGUCUAUAUGUAUUUAAAAGGU